rnacentral:rRNA from 1 species
GACGAACGCUGGCGGCGUGCUUAAUACAUGCAAGUCUACGAUUUUUAAAGUAGCAAUAUUUUAAAGAGAGUGGCGCACGGGUGAGUAACACGUAGGUAAUCUGCCUUUAGGUCUGACACAACUCGUCGAAAGACGGGCUAAUAUCAGAUAAUGCAGCGAUCCGGCAUCGGGUUGUUGUCAAAGCUUCGGCGCCCAAAGAUGAGCCUGCGGUCCAUUAGGUAGUUGGCGGAGUAACGGCCCACCAAGCCAACGAUGGAUAGCUGGUCUGAGAGGAUGAUCAGCCACACUGGAACUGAGACACGGUCCAGACUCCUACGGGAGGCAGCAGUAAGGAAUAUUGCUCAAUGGCCGAAAGGCUGAAGCAGCAACGCCGCGUGAAGGAUGAAGGGUCUUUGGCUUG